UACGGAGGGGGCUAGCGUUGUUCGGAAUUACUAGGCGUAAAGCGCACGUAGGCGGCUUUGUAAGUUAGAGGUGAAAGCCCGGGGCUCAACUCCGGAAUUGCCUUUAAGACUGCAUCGCUAGAAUUGUGGAGAGGUAAGUGGAAUUCCGAGUGUAGAGGUGAAAUUCGUAGAUAUUCGGAAGAACACCAGUGGCGAAGGCGACUUACUGGACACAUAUUGACGCUGAGGUGCGAAAGCGUGGGGAGCAAACAGG
rnacentral:rRNA from 1 species